rnacentral:lncRNA from 1 species
AGACCUGUGGAGCUCAGAGCCUGGGCCCCUCCACUGCUCCUCUCCUAGGCCAAGGACCCUGGGGUCUGGGCUGACAUGCGAGCCGCUGGGGGACUCUGGGCUUGGCUGUGGCCCCUGGAAAUGAAGUCCCUUCCCUUAGCCCCAGAUAACCCAGGGGUGCUGGCCCCCUGCAUAGACACAGAGUCCCAGUUAGGAGCUGGGGAUAGAAGACAGCUAAAGGGGACUAAGAGAGAGAGGUCAGAGUGAGAGAAAUAGGACCAUGGGGAGAAACACAUUAACAGGAACAGAGAAACAAGGGAAAAAGAGACAGGAUGAGAGAGACACAACUGUAAUAGAGACACAGAGGAGUGGCACACAGAGACCACCUCCCAGCUGGAGACAGUCAGGAAGGACUGAGGGAGAGGGGACAGCCAGGGCUCCACACCCAGGCAAGAAUGGGGGAGGGCCUGUGGAACAGAGAAGUCAUCAACACACACAGUUCAAAGUCUACCCUAGGCUAGGAGGGGGAGCAGGAAGAAGGGGCAGGGACGCAGGGGCCCGGCCUGCGAGCUCCCUGUUGGCCUCUGCUGCCCCCUGCUGGCUCCCGCUGCGGUGCUCAGGCAGGAAGAGAGGAGGCUGCUGUGUUUAGGCCCAGGACGCUCUUCAUUCCCUUUGCACACCACCCACCAACCACUGCCUGCCCCACUCCCUGUCCCCCACUUCACAGAGUGCCCCCAGGGCCAGCAGGUGGUGCGGGUGUCUUGCCCGUGACCUUGUUGGCACAGUCCAGCAGGGCGGUGUGAAUGUCCUUGGCACAGGAAAUCUGGGCUUUGAUGACCGCCAGGUACUGUGGGUAGGGGAGGCUGUCAGGCUGCACUGCGUCGGGCUUGGUGGCUGUGGGCACCAACGUUGGAGAGUGCUUGGCACUGUCACAACUCUGUGACAGGCACUCAUGCGCCAGGCGCUGUGGACAGGCAGGCAAGGGGACAGCAUCAGCUCCACCCGAGGUCAUUCUACCCCACCCCAAGGGCCAGCUGGGGGUUGUCGGCUUGGCCUCUGGAUUUCCCAGGUCUUAGAGUCAGAGGUUGGCCCUGCCAGUCAUUUGCUGGGGAACCUGGGGGCAUGGCGGCUACUCUUCUCUGAGCCUCAGUUUCCUCCUUUGGAAAACGGGUUUAAUAACCACCUCUUCCUACCUCAUAAGGUGAGAACAGUGAGAGCAGGUGUAUGAGACACAGGCACGGGUCCUGGCACACUGUUUAAAGUGCCAAGAACUGUUAGCUACUAUCAUUGUUACUGCCCUGGCUCCAGGCCUGGUGUUGGCAGUGGCAUCUCACCCCUGGUUUUCUGCCUGCUUCUCUGGCUGCUCUAGGUACU